rnacentral:rRNA from 1 species
AACGAACGCUGGCGGCAGGCUUAACACAUGCAAGUCGAGCGAGACCUUCGGGUCUAGCGGCGGACGGGUGAGUAACGCGUGGGAACGUGCCCUUCUCUACGGAAUAGCCCCGGGAAACUGGGAGUAAUACCGUAUACGCCCUUUGGGGGAAAGAUUUAUCGGAGAAGGAUCGGCCCGCGUUGGAUUAGGUAGUUGGUGGGGUAAUGGCCCACCAAGCCGACGAUCGAUAGCUGGUUUGAGAGGAUGAUCAGCCACACUGGGACUGAGACACGGCCCAGACUCCUACGGGAGGCAGCAGUGGGGAAUCUUAGACAAUGGGGGCAACCCUGAUCUAGCCAUGCCGGGUGAGUGAUGAAGGCCUUAGGGUUGUAAAGCUCUUUCAGCUGGGAAGAUAAUGACGGUACCAGCAGAAGAAGCCCCGGCUAACUCCGUG